rnacentral:rRNA from 1 species
UACGUAGGGUGCGAGCGUUGUCCGGAAUUAUUGGGCGUAAAGGCUCGUAGGCGGUUUGUCGCGUCGGGAGUGAAAUCCACUGGCUUAACUGGUGGGCUUGCUUUCGAUACGGGCAGACUGGAGGUAUGCAGGGGAGAACGGAAUUCCUGGUGUAGCGGUGAAAUGCGCAGAUAUCAGGAGGAACACCGGUGGCGAAGGCGGUUCUCUGGGCAUGUCCUGACGCUGAGGAGCGAAAGUGUGGGGAGCGAACAGG